rnacentral:rRNA from 1 species
AUUGAACGCUGGCGGCAGGCCUAACACAUGCAAGUCGAGCGAGUGGCGGACGGGUGAGUAAUGUCUGGGAAACUGCCUGAUGGAGGGGGAUAACUACUGGAAACGGUAGCUAAUCCCGCAUACCAUCGGAUGUGCCCAGAUGGGUUUGACUAGUCGGUGGGGUAUUGGCUCACCUAGGCGCCGAGCCCUAGCUGGUCUGAGAGGAUGACCAGCCACACUGGAACUGAGACACGGUCCAGACUCCGACGGGAGGCAGCAGUGGGGAAUAUGUCACAAUGGGCGCAAGCCUGAUGCAGCCAUGCCGCGUGUGUGAAGAAGGCCUUCGGGUUUUAAAGCACUUUCAGCUGGUAGGCGUUACUCGCAGAAGAAGCACCGGCUAACUCCGUGCCAGCAGCCGCGGUAAUAC